CUGAGUGCAGUAGCUUUUAAUGAGUUUCCAGCCCUGCAGAGGACUCUUUUCUAGCUCCUAUUUCUGCACCUAAUCAUGCUGUAAAGUGAGGUUUUUGUGACCCAGGUGAGCAAAUAUUGUCUCUUAGUCUAAACCCGUUUGGCUGCUGCUUUGCUGAGUUUCCUGCAGGAAUAGCAGCUGUAAAACCGAGGCAGCCUCUGGGAAAACUGGGAAUCUAACCUGCAGCUGGUGCUCAUUCAGCUAAGAAUAUAAAAACGAAAUGACAUUAGAUUUUAUUUCCUCAAAAAAAACAAAAACAAAAAACCCCCCAGAAAUUGCAGGUGUCUUCAGUGGAAUCUGCUCAUGAAAGUGAAUUCUUUCCUUAUGACUGCUUCACAACUAAAAAUUAAAAACAAUUAUUCAGACUUUCAUCAGGUGCAUCAGGUGUUUUAUUAGACGUACCCCUUGUUUUUAUGACAGGAGCUGUCAUCUUGUUUUGUUCAUCUUGCCACAACGCUGACACCUCCUGGUAACAUCCCAUAACUACAAUGAUUAAAUCACAAUUCAACAUCAGAAUUUCAGCUGACCGAAAUUUUGUUGUUAUGAUAAUUAAAAGAAAAUAUAUAUAGCAAAAACAGUAAUAAAAGACGCUUUUAGAGCAGACGAUUCAAGAGUUGAUUCUAUGUUGUUGUUGUUGUUUUAUUAUCACAGGGGGGAGAGAGAGUGAGAAACGGUGACAUUAUCUAAGACAGUUUUUGUAUUUCUAAAAACAAGGCACUCGUACUUAGUCCUUUUAAUCAGUUAUUUAUUUAUUCAUGCAAUUAACCCCUUAGGUGACCGGACAACCGGUAAGAUGGGUGAGGCCAACAUUCAGCUUUUCUUGUAAGGUCUUUUUUUUAUUUUUUUAUUGAGUAUGUAAAAUUUAAAAUUUCAGAUUUUUCAUCUUUUCACAGGGAAUUCAGCUAAAUAGUUUUUAUUCAAACUGUGCAUUCAUUUUUAUUUUUAAUUUUCUGUUUUGCUUUGCGUUUGGUUAAAUUUCAUUUAUGUAUUGUGAUAUCUAGUUUGUCAAUAAAUAAAUAAAUAAAUAAAUACAAUAAAAUAGUCAAGAAAAAUUAUUAUAAAUUAU
ensembl:lncRNA